AUGACUGUGUAGACUCCAGCAUGGCUAUGUCUGCUCUUUCCAGAUCGGUGAUUCUGAACAGACCCUGAAGACUCAGGACUUCUGCUACUUAAUGAAGAAAGGAGCAAGGCCCAAAGUCAGAGUUGGAUGCUCUAUGUAACAAUGUUCUUAAAGAUUUAUCUUUUGCCUUGGGGUCUUGGGGAUAAAUACUAGGACAGGCUUUUAUUUGUUUGGGGGUGGGGAGAGGCUCUUACAUAGCCCAGGCUGGCCUUGAACUCACAAUGUAACCCAGAAUGACCUUGAACGUAUCAUCUUCCAGUUUCUACUCGCCAAGUGUUUUGUGAUUAUAGGUGUGCAACCACCAUGCCAGAUUUAUGCAGUACUGAGAGUAUGGAGACAGGAUCCGGUGCUUUCUGCCUCUAGGCGGGCACUCUACCAACUGAGCCACACCCCCAACACUGUUUCUGUUUUCACUGGAAGGCUUAUGCCAAAACCAAAGCAUGGUUGCGGUUGCGAGUCCGCUGAGGAAGAGACCCCAGACUUUCAGUGGAAAGAUCUCCAUUGCCACCCGAGGCGUUUUGGUGGUCCACUGUGGAACGUGUGCUCACAUGAACAAGAGUAUGAUGUUCCUCCUGGGAACAGAGGAACAGGAAGAGAGGAACAGAUGGGCCCCCUGAGCUUCUUCUUGGCCCAGAAAAUGAAAGGCAGAGAAAAUCGUUAUAAAAAAUGGAAGCAGCUGUGGCAAAGAAGCAGCGGCUUUUUGGGUGGAUCCACUCUCAAGGGGAGGGGCUUGCAAUGUAUUAGGGCUCUGCUCCAAAGGGCAGGGGGUAGGGCUCUCAAAACAGGAUCCUUUUCGGGAUGCCACCCACCCUCCCAAGGUCCUAGGAAGGUCUGAUGGGGAUGGAAUGAUCUUCCAGAGUGCAGAGAAGACUGGCAGGCAGUCACCAAGCUCUCCGCUGGUGUUUGGCUGCCUGUACAGCAACACUGCUCUUUCCUCAAGUCACUCACAAAUCCCCCAGAUUUUGUUUGAACCUGUUUUUUGUUGAGUUCUUGGCAUGUGAAGGCAACAGCAGGUUAAUACGCCAUUUGUCGACGACUGACCGGGAGGACGCCCUGAGUAAGCAGAAAAGACCUGUAGUCAUGGUUGUUGGCUCCCAUUCAGCAACAACUGGACACUUUUCCAGGGGGACUUUUGGAUUGGGUAGCACUGAGAAGUCAAGAAUGAAAAAGGAGUGACUUGGGGGACAGAGGGAGUAGAGAUAGCCUAUCGGGAGAAUCGGGGAGUUUCUGGGAAAGUACAAUAUCUGCUCCUCUCUAACCUAGUUCCCACUAAGAAUGCUUGAACGAUAAUAAUAAUUAUAAUCUCAAUUAAAUCUCAAAGGCAGGCACAAACUAAAACCUUGCUGUAUAGAAUCAACUGGAUGCUAAUUAAAUGUUGGGAGGAUCUGCAAAUCAGAACGCUGAGCUUGUUUUGACAUUUACUUAUUUGUGUGUGUGUGUGUGUAUGUGUGAUGUGUGUGUGUUUAUGUGUGAUGUGUGUAUGAUGUGCAUGUGUGUGAUUUGUGUGUAUGUGUGAUGUGUGUGAUGUGCAUGUGUGUGUGUGUGAGUGUGUGUGUGUGAUGUGUGUGUGUGUGAUGUGUGUGUAUGUGUGAUGUGUGUGUGUUUAUGUGUGAUGUGUGUGUGAUGUGCAUGUGUGUGAUUUGUGUGUAUGUGUGAUGUGUGUGAUGUGCAUGUGUGUGUGUGUGAGUGUGUGUGUGUGNNNNNNNNNNUGUGUGUGUGUGUGAUGUGUGAGUGUGUGCAUGCCAUGAGCAAGAAUGGAGGACAGAAGAAAUCAUUUCAGGAGUCUGCUUUCUCCUUCCACACCAUCUACUUCUGGGAAUCAAACUCAGGUCAUU
ensembl:lncRNA